rnacentral:lncRNA from 1 species
GAAAAAUAAAGUAAAAACGAACAAAGGGAGGAACUAUACUAGAAGAAUUUUCACUCAAAGGAGAAACUAAUUCAAACUACAAGCAAGAAAUAAAUCAAAAUGACAGGGAAGAAAAAUAAUUUCUGAAUAAUAAUAUUGAAAGCAAAUUUUGGCUUAAACCCAUGGCUUAAACCCAUCAAUCAAUAGACAUAGAUUGGCAGAUUGGAUUAAAAAACAAGACCAACAAUAUGCUGUCUUCAAGAGACUCACCUCAUAGGCAAAGACAUCCACAGACUGAAGGUAAAGGGAUGGGCAGAAAACAUAUCAUUCAUGUGGGUCUUUUAAACAAGUAGGGGUUUCUAUCCUUGUAUCAGAUAAAGUGAACUUCAAGCCAAAGUUAGUCAGCAGGGAGAAAGGAGGCCAUUUCAUACUGCUUAAGGGAGCUAUAAUUAACAAGACAUAAAAAUUGUAAAUAUUCAUGCCCAAACAAUGGAGAAUCUACGGACAUCAAAGAAACCCUUCUGAAUUUCAGGAAUCAAAUAGACCACAACACAAUAAUACUGGGUAACUUUAACAUGCCUUUGUUACUACUGAAUAGAUCCUCCAAACAAAAACUAAAUAAAGAAGCUGUAGAACUAAAAAAUACAAUUGACAACUUAGACUUAACAGGCAUAUAUAGACUAUUUCAUCCUUCAAGGACUGAAUACACUUUCUUAGCAGUGCAUGGUUCCUUCUCUAAUAUAAACCAUAUUAUGUAAGCUAUCACAUAUGUUGGCAUACGGUUGUUAUAUUACCUUAAUAUAUUUUUAGCAUCUGUAGGGUUAUUUUGAUAGUUCCCUUUCCAUUAAUUUUUGUAUUCUUUUUUUUUCUUAAUUAGACUUGUUUGGUUUUUAUCAAUGUUUAGCUGUAUUAUUUCUUCUCUAUUUAGUAUAUUUCUGCUCCUACUCUUAUUUUUACCUUC